ensembl:snoRNA SNORA70 Small nucleolar RNA SNORA70
CUGCUGCUGAUUAAGCCCACCCUUCUUUCUACGUGCAGCUUCUGCACACAGCAGCCCCUCAGAGGUGUAGCAGCCUGCUGCUGGUAUGAGUUACCCCGAGGGACCCUGGAGACAGAU